GACGAACGCUGGCGGCGUGCCUAACACAUGCAAGUCGAGCGAAGUGAGUACUACGGUACGAACUUAGCGGCGGACGGGUGAGUAACGCGUGGACAAUCUACCCUGUAGACUGGGAUAACACCUCGAAAGGGGUGCUAAUACCGGAUAAUGCCGAGAAGCGGCAUCGCUUUUCGAAGAAAGGAGAGAAUCCGCUAUAGGAGGAGUCCGCGUCCCAUUAGCUAGUUGGUGAGGGUAACGGCCCACCAAGGCGACGAUGGGUAGCCGGCCUGAGAGGGUGAACGGCCACACCGGAACUGAGACACGGUCCAGACUCCUACGGGAGGCAGCAGUGGGGAAUAUUGUGCAAUGGGGGAAACCCUGACACAGCAACGCCGCGUGAGCGAAGAAGGCCUUCGGGUUGUAAAGCUCAAUAGUAUGGAAGAUAAUGACGGUACCAUACGAAAGCCCCGGCUAACUACGUGCCAGCCGCCGCGGUAACAC
rnacentral:rRNA from 1 species